rnacentral:lncRNA from 1 species
GUCAUGCUUGAAGUCACUGGGAGAGAGAAAAACUCUCAGUUUUUCUCUCAGUGCCAGCCUAAUUUCAUAUUCUCCCUCCUCUCCACGUAUUUACAGUUUUCCUCUUUUAUUUUUCCUUAGAAAUCUGCCCAAGUGAGGCUGCAGGAGUAAUUCUGAGCAGCCAGGGCCUGAUUAUCAGUCCUGCCCACAGAGAAUUCCCUCGGGUGCUGCCUUCUCUUUGCUUCCCAAUAAAUAUUUUUAUUUAUUGCUGUUAGGAGGGACCUCACUGCAGCCUCUCCCCAGUGGUUUUUCCAUGACUUAAAGCCAGGAAAUCUCCAGUGAACCUUAACAGAAGGGUCAAGCUGGAGGCUGUUCAGGUGAAAUGAAAGGGAAUGUGAGCCCCUGCUCUGCUCACGCUCCUGGCAGGAAUUCUGCAGGAAUUCGCUGCAGAUCAGCGAGGAUUCAUCAAAGUUGCAUCAAGUUGAAAGAGUGCCCAAGGGUGCUGCCUGGGAGCUCCAGCAGCUUUUUCUGCACAAAACAACUCUCUCUGCCCUUUGCUUUUCUAAUCCCAAACUAGCCUGGGGCUCCGGUUCACCUUCUGGAGGAGCAGCUCCGCCACCUUCCCAAGCGGCUGCUGCAGAGAGA